rnacentral:tRNA from 1 species
GCAAUUUUAGUUUAUACAAAAUGAUAGUUUGUCUCACUAUAGAUGGCCUUUGGCCAAGUUGCU